ensembl:lncRNA
CCCUGACACCGCCCGGCCGACGGUGCCCGCAGGCCCGCGGGCCGCGGCGGGUGCGUCCCUCCCGUGCGCCUCGCGCGCUCCCGGGGCGCCGGCCGAGCGCCACGCGGUCUUAGCGCAAGUCGGGCUGGGAGCGCGUUCCUCGCGGCCUCUGGCCGCCCCGCCCGGUUCCCGCCGCGGGCCUCGCCCCGCGGUGCCUCCGCCCGGGCGCUCCGUGCGGCUGUCUGGCCUGGCCUGGUCCGCCGAUCGCGCUGCGGCGCAACUCGGGGGACACCCAGCAGGCGCCGGCUCCUUCGCUGGUCCCGCGCUUUCCGCGCGGUUCCGCCGCCUCCCACCCGGGAGACAUCUCCAAUUUGAUAGGAUCUUUGAUCAACCGCAGCGUUUCCCCCAGGUGUUAGCUGCCUCGGACGCCAGGGCGACCUUCUGUGAGAGGGGGAGGAAAAGAAGGAAGAUGUGUGAGCUCCCCCUGGUGCUCGUCUGUAUUCAGGCGGAUUGAAAAGAAUUGUCAGGAGCACCCGUCUACACAAAGGGAAGGAAAAGUCAAUGAUCUGGGUUAUUUCAAGUGGCCCGCUUCCCCACUCACCGGCAGAACAUUUCAGAUCAACGUCUCCAGGCUUGGAUUCCCUUGGACCCUUUAUGUCACACUGUCCGUGUAGACCUGCCUUUGUUAGAUAAUGUCAUUUCUGCCAAGAGUUGGAAGAGGAGUCCAUGCCUUGUCAGAGAAC